AACGAACGCUGGCGGCAUGCCUAACACAUGCAAGUCGAACGAGACCUUCGGGUCUAGUGGCGCACGGGUGCGUAACGCGUGGGAACCUGCCCUUAGGUUCGGAAUAACUCCCCUAAAGGGGUGCUAAUACCGGAUAAUGUCUUCGGACCAAAGAUUUAUCGCCUUUGGAUGGGCCCGCGUUGGCUUAGCUAGUUGGUAGUGUAAAAGCCUACCAAGGAGACGAUCCAUAGCUGGUCGGAGAGGAUGAUUAGCCACACUGGGACUGAGACACGGCCCAGACUCCUACGGGAGGCAGCAGUGGGGAAUAUUGGACAAUGGGCGAAAGCCUGAUACAGCAAUGCCGCGUGAGUGAUGAAGGCCUUAGGGUUGUAAAGCUCUUUUACCCGGGAUGAUAAUGACAGUACCGGGAGAAUAAGCACCGGCUAACUCCGUG
rnacentral:rRNA from 1 species